CCUACGGGAGGCAGCAGUGAGGAAUAUUGGACAAUAGGCGCAAGCCUGAUCCAGCCAUGCCGCGUGCAGGAAGAAGCAUCUAUGGUGUGUAAACUGCUUUUGUACAGGAAGAAACACUCCCUCGUGAGGGAGCUUGACGGUACUGUAAGAAUAAGGACCGGCUAACUCCGUGCCAGCAGCCGCGGUAAUACGGAGGGUCCGAGCGUUAUCCGGAAUCAUUGGGUUUAAAGGGUCCGUAGGCGGUUUAAUAAGUCAGUGGUGAAAUCUGGUCGCUCAACGAUCAAACGGCCAUUGAUACUGUUAGACUUGAAUUAUAAGGAAGUAACUAGAAUAUGUAGUGUAGCGGUGAAAUGCUUAGAUAUUACAUGGAAUACCAAUUGCGAAGGCAGGUUACUACUUAUGGAUUGACGCUGAUGGACGAAAGCGUGGGGAGCGAACAGGAUUAGAUACCCUGGUAGUCCACGCCGUAAACGAUGGAUACUAGCUGUUCGGAGCAAUCUGAGUGGCUAAGCGAAAGUGAUAAGUAUCCCACCUGGGGAGUACGUUCGCAAGAAUGAAACUCAAAUGAAUUGACGGCGNGAGAGAGCGACGACGACGACGAGGGAGGAGG
rnacentral:rRNA from 1 species